rnacentral:tRNA from 1 species
UUAAUCGAAACCAAAGCAGAGGUAAAUCACUGUUAAUGAUAAAAUUGAAAUAAAUUUCCGAUUAAA